rnacentral:lncRNA from 1 species
CACCUGUGAUGGCCUAAAAUAAAACCAGAAGUGAGGCAGAGCCAGCUGUAUGAGUUAAAAUGAAGUCUAGCCACAUGAGUGAAACUAAGAAUUUGCACCAUGACCUUUAGUGCUAGAAGUAGAUCCUCCAUAAUAAAAGGAAUUAAAUCUUCAGACUGCAAUGAUGACCCUAAAUUAGGUUAUAGAUUUUGUUAAGUGAUUUCGCAGAACAGCUCUGCAGAGAAAUGAUUGAGAAGUUAAUCUGUUCCGCUGAGAUGAGAAGUGUAUCUUUGUCCUUGGAGAGUUGCAGUCUGCCCAGGCUAUGACCUUCUUGGAGCCAUACCAUUUUUCAGGUUAUCUUCUAGAAACAGAAGAAAUAAAAGGGAAGGUGUUUUCAUCUGCCAACACCAGUUUACCCAGAAGUAGGUGCAAAGGAACCUGUUGGAGAACUAUCCAUGUCAAUCACUACCCUUGA